rnacentral:tRNA from 1 species
GCACCUGUAGCUCAGCAGGAUAGAGCACUCGCCUCCUAAGCGAGGGGUCGUGAGUUCGAAUCUCGCCAGGUGCG